rnacentral:rRNA from 1 species
AGUGAACGCUGGCGGUAGGCCUAACACAUGCAAGUCGAACGGCAGCACAGUAAGAGCUUGCUCUUACGGGUGGCGAGUGGCGGACGGGUGAGGAAUACAUCGGAAUCUACUUUUUCGUGGGGGAUAACGUAGGGAAACUUACGCUAAUACCGCAUACGACCUACGGGUGAAAGCAGGGGAUCUUCGGACCUUGCGCGAUUGAAUGAGCCGAUGUCGGAUUAGCUAGUUGACGGGGUAAAGGCCCACCAAGGCGACGAUCCGUAGCUGGUCUGAGAGGAUGGUCAGGCACACUUGGACUGGAGCAAGGUCCAAGCUCCUUCGGGGAGCAACAGUGGGGAAUUAUGGACAAAGGGCGGAAACCUUGUCCAACCAUACCGGGGGGGGUAAAGAAGCCUUCCGGGUUGAAAAGCCUUUUUGUUGGGAAAAAAAGGAAGAAGGUAAAACCCCGCUUGUUUGGCGGGAACCAAAAGAUAAAGAACGGCUAACUUCGUU